GCUCAGGAUGAACGCUGGCGGCGUGCCUAAUACAUGCAAGUCGAGCGAACGGACGAGAAGCUUGCUUCUCUGAUGUUAGCGGCGGACGGGUGAGUAACACGUGGAUAACCUACCUAUAAGACUGGGAUAACUUCGGGAAACCGGAGCUAAUACCGGAUAAUAUUUUGAACCGCAUGGUUCAAAAGUGAAAGACGGUCUUGCUGUCACUUAUAGAUGGAUCCGCGCUGCAUUAGCUAGUUGGUAAGGUAACGGCUUACCAAGGCAACGAUGCAUAGCCGACCUGAGAGGGUGAUCGGCCACACUGGAACUGAGACACGGUCCAGACUCCUACGGGAGGCAGCAGUAGGGAAUCUUCCGCAAUGGGCGAAAGCCUGACGGAGCAACGCCGCGUGAGUGAUGAAGGUCUUCGGAUCGUAAAACUCUGUUAUUAGGGAAGAACAUAUGUGUAAGUAACUGUGCACAUCUUGACGGUACCUAAUCAGAAAGCCACGGCUAACUACGUGCCAGCAGCCGCGGUAAUACGUAGGUGGCAAGCGUUAUCCGGAAUUAUUGGGCGUAAAGCGCGCGUAGGCGGUUUUUUAAGUCUGAUGUGAAAGCCCACGGCUCAACCGUGGAGGGUCAUUGGAAACUGGAAAACUUGAGUGCAGAAGAGGAAAGUGGAAUUCCAUGUGUAGCGGUGAAAUGCGCAGAGAUAUGGAGGAACACCAGUGGCGAAGGCGACUUUCUGGUCUGUAACUGACGCUGAUGUGCGAAAGCGUGGGGAUCAAACAGGAUUAGAUACCCUGGUAGUCCACGCCGUAAACGAUGAGUGCUAAGUGUUAGGGGGUUUCCGCCCCUUAGUGCUGCAGCUAACGCAUUAAGCACUCCGCCUGGGGAGUACGACCGCAAGGUUGAAACUCAAAGGAAUUGACGGGGACCCGCACAAGCGGUGGAGCAUGUGGUUUAAUUCGAAGCAACGCGAAGAACCUUACCAAAUCUUGACAUCCUUUGACAACUCUAGAGAUAGAGCUUUCCCCUUCGGGGGACAAAGUGACAGGUGGUGCAUGGUUGUCGUCAGCUCGUGUCGUGAGAUGUUGGGUUAAGUCCCGCAACGAGCGCAACCCUUAAGCUUAGUUGCCAUCAUUAAGUUGGGCACUCUAAGUUGACUGCCGGUGACAAACCGGAGGAAGGUGGGGAUGACGUCAAAUCAUCAUGCCCCUUAUGAUUUGGGCUACACACGUGCUACAAUGGACAAUACAAAGGGCAGCGAAACCGCGAGGUCAAGCAAAUCCCAUAAAGUUGUUCUCAGUUCGGAUUGUAGUCUGCAACUCGACUACAUGAAGCUGGAAUCGCUAGUAAUCGUAGAUCAGCAUGCUACGGUGAAUACGUUCCCGGGUCUUGUACACACCGCCCGUCACACCACGAGAGUUUGUAACACCCGAAGCCGGUGGAGUAACCUUUUAGGAGCUAGCCGUCGAAGGUGGGACAAAUGAUUGGGGUGAAGUC
rnacentral:rRNA from 1 species